AUGUGUAUAUAUACACACACACACACACAUAUAUAUAUAUACACAUAUAUGUAUGUGUGUGUGUGUGUGUGUGUGUAUAU
rnacentral:miRNA from 1 species